rnacentral:rRNA from 1 species
UACGUAGGGGCAAGCGUUGUCCGGAUUUAUUGGGCGUAAGAGCGUGUAGGCGGCUUGGUAGGUCCGCUGUGAAACUCGAGGCUCAACCUCGAGAUGUCGGCGGAAACCACUUGGCUAGAGUCCGGAAGAGGAGAGUGGAAUUCCCGUGUAGCGGUGAAAUGCGCAGAUAUCGGGAAGAACACCUAUGCGAAGGCAGCUCUCUGGGACGGUACUGACGCUGAGACGCGAAAGCGUGGGGAGCGAACAGG